rnacentral:rRNA from 1 species
GAUGAACGCUGGCGGCGUGCCUAAUACAUGCAAGUCGAGCGAACUGAUUAGAAGCUUGCUUCUAUGACGUUAGCGGCGGACGGGUGAGUAACACGUGGGUAACCUGCCUGUAAGACUGGGAUAACUUCGGGAAACCGAAGCUAAUACCGGAUCGGAUCUUCUCCUUCAUGGGAGAUGAUUGAAAGAUGGUUUCGGCUAUCACUUACAGAUGGGCCCGCGGUGCAUUAGCUAGUUGGUGAGGUAACGGCUCACCAAGGCAACGAUGCAUAGCCGACCUGAGAGGGUGAUCGGCCACACUGGGACUGAGACACGGCCCAGACUCCUACGGGAGGCAGCAGUAGGGAAUCUUCCGCAAUGGACGAAAGUCUGACGGAGCAACGCCGCGUGAGUGAUGAAGGCUUUCGGGUCGUAAAACUCUGUUGUUAGGGAAGAACAAGUACAAGAGUAACUGCUCGUACCUUGACGGUACCUAACCAGAAAGCCACGGCUAACUACGUGCCAGCCGCCGCAGUAACAC